UACGGGGGGGGGCAAGCGUUGUUCGGAAUUACUGGGCGUAAAGGGCUCGUAGGCGGCCAACUAAGUCAGACGUGAAAUCCCUCGGCUUAACCGGGGAACUGCGUCUGAUACUGGAUGGCUUGAAUCCGGGAGAGGGAUGCGGAAUUCCAGGUGUAGCGGUGAAAUGCGUAGAUAUCUGGAAGAACACCGAUGGCGAAGGCAGCUCUCUGGGACGGUACUGACGCUGAGGCGCGACAGCGUGGGGAGCAAACAGG
rnacentral:rRNA from 1 species